CUCUUAUCCAGAGCAGCUGAGGGACUGGCCCGUUGAAGCUCGGCAACCUUAAAAAAAGGUGCUAAUUCCAGCAAGACACCCGUCUUGAAAGAUGAGAG
rnacentral:ncRNA from 1 species